GAUGAACGCUAGCGACAGGCUUAACACAUGCAAGUCGAGGGGCAGCAUGAACUUAGCUUGCUAAGUUUGAUGGCGACCGGCGCACGGGUGAGUAACGCGUAUGCAACUUGCCUAUCAGAGGAGAAUAGCUCAUCGAAAGAUGAAUUAAUGCUCCAUGAAACAGGGGUCCCGCAUGGGAAUAUUUGUUAAAGAUUCAUCGCUGAUAGAUAGGCAUGCGUUCCAUUAGGCAGUUGGCGGGGUAACGGCCCACCAAACUGACGAUGGAUAGGGGUUCUGAGAGGAAGGUCCCCCACAUGGGUACUGAGACACGGACCAAACUCCUACGGGAGGCAGCAGUGAGGAAUAUUGGGGAAUGGACGGGAGGCUGAACCAGCCAAGGCGCGUGAAGGAAGAAGGAUCUAUGGUUUGUAAACUUCUUGUAUACGGGAAUAGAGUGUGGAAUGCGUUCCAUGUUGUAUGUACCGGAUGAAUAAGCAUCGGCUAACUCCGUG
rnacentral:rRNA from 1 species